GGCUGCAUGGUCAAGUGGUCAAGAUUUCUGUUUUGGGCUGUAGCAUAAAUGCAGGAGGUCCUGGGGUACGUGUACCUAUUAUGAGAAUUGAGUAGGAGGCUAGAAGAACUCAGUUCGAAUCACAGUGCAGCCC